GGAACUGAUGGAGAAGUCAAGGAGGAGCCUCAGAGAAGGUCUGCUAGAUUAUCAGCGGUAAGUUCUUUUCUUUUUAAAGAGAUUUUUAAUGUUAACAUUAUAUCAUUAUUUAAUUUUUUAAAAAGUCUUUGACCUCAAAAGACUUGAGGAACUUUAAAUAUAGUCUUGGAAAUAGUUUUUAGCACUUUUUGUAAUAAUUGACAAUUUAAUUCCUACAAACAACACUUUCAACCUACCACUGAUCUCAGAGCAACAUGAUCAGAAACAUCAUUUCUGCACAAGGUUUUUGUUUGUUUGUUUGUUUUUUAAUUUCAGCAUAAUUGCUGUUAAAUAUUUUUUUACUUCAGCAUAAUUUUCCCAGUCAUUUAAGGUUAUGUGUAGAAUUCAGGAUAGGGCAGAACAACAUAGACCAUUCUAUGUAUUAUUUUAACUAUUUACUUGAACAUGUUUAUUGUUCAGAUGUCCUUGUAUAUAUCAAAAAGUAAGUUUGUGAAUAAAACAUUCUUUCAUUUCCCUUCAGAAACCAACGCCUCCAAAACCUGAACCCAAACCGAAAAAAACUCCCAAGAAAGAGAAGGAAGUGAAUGAUAAAAAGGAAGAAAAGAAAGCAAAGGCUGAGGAAUCCAAGGAGGAAAACCAAUCAGAAAAUGGGGAGACUAAGACCAAUGAGGUUGAAAAAACUCCAGACGAGGCGGCGGAGCCCGAGAAGGAGGACCCGAAGACAGAGUAGCACCACACUUGUCCAUCCAUCUGUCCAUCCGUCCAUCCUUUCCCUUUCCCCCUUUCCUUUCUUUUAUCUUCCUCUCUCUUUCCCAGUUUUAUCUCUCCCUUUCCAGUUCUCUCAGCAACCUCCUCUCUGCCCAUCACAACCAGAGGAAUAUUUUUAUCAGCGAAUUUGUAAAUACUGGUUCAGGUUUUUAGCACAAAAACAAAGCUGACUAAAUCGAGUCUUGUGUUCGGCCGCAGCUGUAUCAGGUGUCUACAACACGAGAGGUGUGAAAAAGGCGGCAUCUUUCUUUAAUUUUGUUGAUUUUCUAUUUUUAUUUCUUCUUUUUUUUUUUUUUUUUUUAAGCGGAUGGUCUGUAGCUUGGUUUUGGAGUGGGAGGAGGCUCUCAGUCUGUAUGUCCGUUAGUGCUCGUGAUGUUUCUGUAUGGGGUUUGUUUUAUUUUUUCUUUUAAACGUAAUUGAUUGUCUUUAAGAAAGAGAAAUGAGUUCAACAAAUGUAGAAGAAAAGAGAGAAAACAAUAAAAGACAAACUGCGUACA
ensembl:lncRNA